AUGGCUCCCACCAGCGGGAGCGUCGGGAGCGUCGGGAGUGUGGGGAGCGUCGGGAGCGUCGGGAGUGUGGGCAGCGUCGGGGCCGUGGGGAGAGUCACAGCUGGCAAGUCCGGCAACCCCAUCGCCUUGGACUCGCCGACGCCGGCACCGCGUGUCGCUGCAACCUUCUCGUUCAGCUCCCUCCCGUCGCAGGACGCGAGCACCGCCAGUAGCAGGAGCGCGGCGGCGAGACACUUCGCCAUUGCUAACUGGGAGGCUCUGGUCACGGGCGGCAGAGAGGCAUUCAAGUAUGGCGGCAUGUCAACGUCGGUGGAUUGGAAUGUGGCGGAUGGAAUUAUUGUCCGCGAAUCCGUCCUGCCUCUUUUCAUCGCAGUCGAGAAGGCCAGGUCACGUAGUCAAGAGUCAACCGUUCACGACUCGACCUGUGACUGUGUGACCGUGCUCGACUCGCCCGUGCUGGACUGGGCGAGCGGCGCCGCCAAUCUCGAUUGGAAAGGAGCGCGGGGGCUGAAUGAGAUGGAGCGAGGAGACAGUGCUUCAAAUCGAGGGGAGGUUCAGGUUCUGCCACCACUCGCAAUUAUAGUGAAAUUUUUUCCCUGUAAAGUCAAGCUCAGUGAUGGUAGUGUCCAAGACAUUGAUAGAGAUACCACCGUGAGGUUGGAUGUCGAAUUUGCAGAUGUUGAUCCCCAGGAAUUGGAGAGCAUGAAGGAGAAGGCCGUGGGCAAUUUGGUGGAGAGAAUUAGGGAGAGUAUUGUUUGGGGUCCAGAACAAGAGGUAUCUCUGCAACGUUUCGAUAACUAUAAUGGUGAAUAUGUGAGAAUUGAAGAUGGAGAAUCCAUGGUUGCUGAAAUUGAUCAGCAAGAAGGGUGGGUAAGCAAACAAGUAAUAUUUUAUGCAGAGCUAAUUGAUCUGCAAACUCAUUCCAGAGUUGGUUAUGUGCCAUCAAAGAUGGCUGCACAGGUGGAAUAUGAUGAGUGGGUUUCACAAAAGAAGAUGUUGGCAUUGUUGACUGAACCGACUGUAGUAGCUGAAGAUACAGGGAUUGCUGCACAUGGAGAGGGGGGAACCCAUGGUGCUAGGAAGAUUGUUGUUGACUGGAAUGUAGUAGAGUUGAAUGAAAAAACAGAUUUGGUCAUUACACCAAUAUCUGACAUUGAUAUGGCCAAAAUGUUUGGCAUUCAAGUUGAUGACAAAGAUAAGGAGAAGGAUGACAGUUCUUUGCCUGCUGAUGGUAACACAGGCCCUAGAAAUGCAAAUGAGGAUGAAGAAGAGCUGAUGAGAGAGGCUACAGAUGAUGUGGAUGAUGCAGAUGAUAAUGAGCUGGUUUGUUUGUAUGACAAAGAGAACCCAGUUAUUGAGGUGGGAAAGUUGUGGCCAAGCAUGAAGGAGUUUAGGAUGUCUUUCAGGACCUAUGCAGUGAGAAAAGAGUUUGAUGCCCAGACUAUGUGGACUGAUCAGAAAAAAAUUAUGCUCGGUGAAAAGGUUAUGAUGGUGGUGGCAAUCCUUGCAAAUGGUACUUGUCUGCCAGACUACAACCUGAUGGAAGUACAGAGGAAGCGUGCAGAAAAAGCCCCACCUCUUGUUGUUGAACAAUGCUGGCCAGUGAAAAAAGCAAGACUCAAUGGCUUUAGAUGGAAGAGCGCUAAGCAGAUAAUGUUUGGUGACAAAGAUAUGGAGCAAACUGAAACUGUUAUUGCUGAACAUGAGCUAAGUGUUUCUGUUUUGGACGAUGUGAUGCAUACUGAAUCUGUUUUGCAGGCGCUAGGGCAAUCUGAAACUAUUGCAGAUGAAACAACUGUUGUGCUGCCAUGCGAAUCUGCUUUGACAGCUGUGUUGCCAUGUUUGGAGGUUGUGCUGCCAAGUGUUGAGUUGCAAACUGAAGUAGUUGAACAAUGUGUGCCACCUACUCAAUCUGUAAAAGUGCAAACUGAAGAAGUGGGACAUGGUCAGUUCUACGGCCCUACCUACCGUCGCCCUCACACCGUGCUGGAGAGGGAGUACCCGGCCGGAGUCAUCGUCGAGAAUAGCCUGAGGGUGUGGGCCAUCUCAAGAUGGAGGGGCCCUAGAGAGUUGGCUCGCUUCUUCCUCCAAGCCGGCUACCGCCACCUCCCUCCGGGCACUCCGCCCAUAUUCCACCUCCAUGAGAAGUACGAUGGUGACGCCAACGGCAUCGUCAUCGGCCUCUACGUCACCUUCACUAACCCCUACGACGCUCACCACCUCCUCGGCCAGGAUGGUCAUGGACCGAUCGUCGUCCACACUUCCCACUCCAGCCCGCUGCCUCCUCGAAACCCGACACCCCCAAACCCUAGCCUCUCCCCAUCCUCGAGCUCGUCGGCCGGCCGCCUCGCAGCCAUGGGGUUCUGGAACCACAGGCGCAAGGGGAAGCACGACCGCGAGGCUGGCUCCUCCUCGCGAUGCCGUCGCGGCUCCGUGAAAGAGGAGGCCGCUUCGCCGCCGCAUCGGGCCCCCGCGCCUGCCCCAUUCACCAUCGGCCCUAGGGCCACCGGCGAGCGCGACCGGCAGUACCUGGCCGUGGACGUAUGCCGACGUUAUUGGGAGACGCGGACGCCGGUCCCAUGGAGCGACGUCCACCUCCCCAACCACUGGCACCUCUCCACCGAUCGGGUCCCGAUCCCGUCGGUCCCGAUGAGCGGCUAUGCGCACCGCAAUGAGAUUGAGCGCCACCGCCGCCUCCUCCCCGACGACCUCUACUACGAUGAUAGCCUCACACCCACGCCAUCGCCUUCCCCAUCUCUGUCGCCACAUCCACCUCCUUGCAUGAGAGCGGAGGAGGAGGCCCGGCUCAUGCAACGUUUCAUGGAGGACUCCAUGAACACGCACGAUGAGCGCCAAUGGCCGGGCCUCGAGGAGACGAUGGCCCUCUCUGCGGCCGGCGACAUCGCCAUCCCCGAGCUGGAGAUGGUGAGAGUGGAGGAGGUGGUGGAGGAGGAGCCGGUGGCCGCGUUCCACCCGGCCCUGGUUGGGCAGCAGUGGAGCUGGUCGUGCUCGGCUCCGGAGAUGGCCGACGCCGUGGGGGUCGCGAACUGGUGCCCCACGCCGCCGCGGUCACAGGAGCAGGACGCGUCGCCACGGGAGGAGGUGGUGCAGGCACCUCCCUCCUUCCAGCCCAACCCCGUCUACCACGGACCGCCGACCCACCUCUGGACGCCGCCGGACUACGUCGACGUCAUCAGCGACGACGAUGACAUCGGCGGCCAGCGAAGACGGCGACGGCCACGACAUCGGCGGGCACGGCAGGAGCGUGCGGGAGGCCAGAAGACGGUGUCUCCUCAACUGGCCCCGGAGAUGCAGAGGAAACAAUAUGCAUUGAGUUCAGAGUUCAGACUGUAA
rnacentral:rRNA from 1 species